GAUGAAGAACGUAGCGAAAUGCGAUAAGUAGUGUGAAUUGCAGAAUUCAGUGAAUCAUCGAGUUUUUGAACGCAUAUUGCGCCCUCUGGUAUUCCGGGGGGCAUGCCUGUUCGAGCGUCAUUAAAUAACCCUCAAGCAUAGCUUGGUGUUGGGCUUUUUUACGUCCUUGACUGGGAUGGGCCUAAAAAUUAGUGGCGAUGGCUUUUUUACUUUCAAGCGUAGUAAAUCUCGUCUUGCUAAAGAGGAAAAAGAUUUUUUUUCUGCCAAAAAUUUUAACAUUUAAAGUUGACCUCGGAUCAGGUAGGAUUACCCGCUGAACUUAAGCAUAUCAAUAAGCGGAGGA
rnacentral:misc_RNA from 1 species